rnacentral:rRNA from 1 species
GACGUAGGAGGCGAGCGUUGUCCGGAUUCAUUGGGCGUAAAGAGCGCGCAGGCGGCUUGGUAAGUCGGAUGUGAAAACCCGAGGCUCAACCUCGGGCGUGCAUCCGAAACUGCUCGGCUAGAGGUAGGUAGGGGAGAUCGGAAUUCCUGGUGUAGCGGUGAAAUGCGCAGAUAUCAGGAGGAACACCGAUGGCGAAGGCAGGUCUCUGGGCCACUACUGACGCUGAUGCACGAAAGCUAGGGGAGCAAACAGG